rnacentral:rRNA from 1 species
AUUGAACGCUGGCGGCAUGCCUUACACAUGCAAGUCGAACGGUAACAGGUCUUCGGAUGCUGACGAGUGGCGAACGGGUGAGUAAUACAUCGGAACGUGCCUAGUAGUGGGGGAUAACUACUCGAAAGAGUGGCUAAUACCGCAUGAGAUCUACGGAUGAAAGCAGGGGAUCGCAAGACCUUGUGCUACUAGAGCGGCCGAUGGCAGAUUAGGUAGUUGGUGGGAUAAAAGCUUACCAAGCCGACGAUCUGUAGCUGGUCUGAGAGGACGAUCAGCCAGUCUGGGACUGUGAAACGGCCCAGACUCCUACGGGAGGCAGCAGUGAGGAAUUUUGGACAAUGGGCGCAAGCCUGAUCCAGCAAUGCCGCGUGCAGGAUGAAGGCCUUCGGGUUGUAAACUGCUUUUGUACGGAACGAAAAGCCCCGGGUUAAUACCCUGGGGUCAUGACGGUACCGUAAGAAUAAGCACCGGCUAACUACGUGCCAGCCGCCGCAGUAA